AGUUCAGUAUUAUGAUAGUAUCAGUGAAAUUGACCAUGCCAAUGUUUUCUUCCUCUCUAGAAGUGCGAUAUUUUAUUCCGCAAAAGGAAGCCAUUGGUGCAAAAGAGGUCAAGCUUUGAUUCUAUUUGAGUUUAUGCUCUCUUUGUAAUCCCGUUUUCCUUUCUAAUUAGCAUUUGAUUGUGUUUCAAUGGCAAGAUGAAGUAUAGUUGGCAUUUGCAAAUACACUGCAAGAUGGAAAGUACAAGAAAUCUGUGAAAAGAUGCCAAUGAUAUUCUAAUACAAAGUAGGUUGCAAUGGGUCAUCAAGACUAUGGGAGAUAAGAACACCAGCAAUUCAGGCAACAACACUCCCUAUUCAUUGCAGUUUUUAUCUUCUUGGAAGAAAUUAUCUUGCAAGCUGAUAAAACUUAUAAAAGGAGACUGGGACAUACUGUUGGCCGGCCUUGCCAUUGCCGUCAUCAGAGACCAUUUGCACGUGUGUGCCAUGCGCUGCUAUUGGUGAGAUUUCUUGGUCUUUAGUUUGCUACCCCCAUUUGUAAUUACUCAAUAAGUAAGACUAAGCAGCUUUUCUAUCUGGACCUUGGUGCAUAAAUUUCUUGGGCAACUGAAUCCGAAAUAAGCAGCUUAGUCUUAGUUGUAGAUGCUAGCGACUGUGUUACCACACCAUGAUUAUACUGUAGGUAGGUUGAGAUGUGCAGGGUGUCGCAUUCGCUGAUGAAUAUUAGUCAAUAGGUAUCAGAAAUCGGUCAAUUACGCGAGAAGUUUAAGUGUUGCUUUCUUGUGGAGAGCACUGAUGGCUGGAGAUUACUGAAGCACUUUGUUUGUUCAAGUUAGAUGCUACAGAUUUUCAUUGUAAAUACUACUGGUUGUUUAACUGAAUGAAGUUAUUUAAGUUUAGAUGUGUUGUGCCUCUGAACUCUUUCCUCAAUGAAGGUACAAUAUGCAA